rnacentral:rRNA from 1 species
CCUACGGGAGGCAGCAGUGGGGAAUAUUGCACAAUGGGGGAAACCCUGAUGCAGCGACGCCGCGUGAGUGAAGAAGUAUUUCGGUAUGUAAAGCUCUAUCAGCAGGGAAGAAGAAAGACGGUACCUGACUAAGAAGCCCCGGCUAACUACGUGCCAGCAGCCGCGGUAAUACGUAGGGGGCAAGCGUUAUCCGGAAUUACUGGGUGUAAAGGGUGCGUAGGUGGCAUGGUAAGUCAGAAGUGAAAGCCCGGGGCUUAACCCCGGGUCUGCUUUUGAAACUGUCAUGCUAGAGUGCAGGAGAGGUAAGCGGAAUUCCUAGUGUAGCGGUGAAAUGCGUAGAUAUUAGGAGGAACACCAGUGGCGAAGGCGGCUUACUGGACUGUCACUGACACUGAUGCACGAAAGCGUGGGGAGCAAACAGGAUUAGAUACCCUUGUAGUC